AUGGUAGGGGAGUAAGGAUAAGGGCUGAUUCUCAGGCACACAAGGAUGAGACUCUGGGGUGUCAGCAGAGAGCCCUGGGCAUGAGGCUGAAGGCAGGGAAGACCAACAGGGCGCCCUUCCCUCUCACUGACAGGGAAUGGGCCUCUGGGUGGCGCCGGGCUUUGUCAUCUGUGGGAUAGGACUGUCAGGCUGUGUACCCCACAGUGGGGCCCAUCAGCACUGAUAAAUAUCAUCCAGUGAAAGCUCAGGCCUAGCCCUGGGGUGACAGGCUUCAGUGUGUGCGCUGCCCUGGAGCUGCUGUGCUGGAGCUGCAGGUCUAACCCUUUCUCCGCCCUGUGACCCUCCCUGAUGGGGUAGAGGGACAGAGGACAGGGACCCUACCCUCCUCCCACCCUGGAGCAAGCUGCUGAAAUCCAUCUCAGGUCUCCAGCUUUGUGAGGCCCAGCUGCAGGGGAACAUGGACGGCGGGAGUCUGAAUUCCUAAGACGGGAGCCUGUCUUGUGUUUAGAGCAGGCUCUUGCCUGUGUCCCCUUCUCCACAGCGCACAUCUGGCACACCAGCCACCGGACUGGCACUGCCCCAUGCCAUCACUGCUCCCAGCAGGCUCUAACAGGACAAAGGACACUCGGUGUUUGCCUGUGCACAGAUUUUCUGUGCGGGUGGCUGAGGGUCAGAUGGAUGGCCCAGCGGCCGAGGGAGGCAUUACAGGGGCUGCUCUUGGGUCAGUGGGCGCCAACGUUGGCGAGGUAAUCCCUAAAGUUAUCAGCUGGAAGAGGGUAUCGGUCAAAACAGAGAAACUAAGCCAGGUCGCAGCCCCGGGCAGGGGCAGGAGCAGGGGCAGGGGCAGGAGCAGGAGCAGGGGCAGGAGCAGGGGCCGGAGCAGGGGCCACAAGCUGCUGACAAAGCCUCCUCCGAAAGGGGGCGGGCAGCCCUCACCAGUUAGGGUGAGCUCUGGGUUCCCCUCUAUGUCUCCAAGACAGAAGGACAGAAAAGUAUCCCCGCUCCGAUCCCCGCAGGAUGCCAGAGCCAAGAGGAAAUUCCUGGGACACUGACUCGAUGGCUGCUUUCUUGGAGAAAUCGAGGAAGAGCCAGCCCACCCCAAGGAAAUCCUCCCAUGGCACAGCCAUGAACUGAUGACACGGACCUGGUGUGGUCUCUCACAGAAUGUUCUGGAAUGGUUUGCUGGUCUCAGUAAGGAAGGUGUUGUUGGAAGGCACAGACGCUGUGCUGGGCUCAGCAAUGAGCACCUUUAAUUCAGGGGGCAGAGUUGGGUGAAUCUCAGUGAGUUCUAUAUAGUGAGUUCUAGGACAGCCAGGACCACAGAGAAACUCUGUCUCAAAAAACAAGCAGACAGACAGAUGGCAGAGCUGGAAAAUGGGCCCUGUCCUCAGCUGACCCUCGUCAGUCCCUGGGCCCUCAUGGUAGAAGGAGAGAGCCCACUCAGGAAAUUCUUUCUCUGAAAUCAGUCACCCCUCCCUCCCACACACAUGCACAGUAAAUGGAUGGAUAGACAGACAGACAGACGGACACAGACAGAUAGGUAUUAAAAAUAGGAAGGGGCUGGAGAGCUAGCUCCACAGCUAAGGGCAAGGACGGCUCUUGCCAGGAACUGAUGUGCGGCGCCCCACAUCGGGCAGUGUGCAGGUACCUAUAGCUCCAGCUCCAGGGAGCUGCCUCUGUGGGCACCUGCACUCAUAUGCACACACUCACACACAAACACACACACAUAGCUUGGAAAUAAAACUAAAUAAUAAAGUCAAAACCUCAACGGUGGAGAUUUGGCCAGAGUUCCCUCUGAGAAACCUGUGUUUAUUGGGCUUCCUGGCAGAGCAUGGGAGAGGGUGGCUUAUGGGUGUGGGGGUGCUUCUCCCCAUCUACAGACUCCCGAAGGGGUGAGGGAAUGCUCACAACCACACAGAGGCAGCUCCCCUGCCCUCCUCUCCUCCCUCAGCCCUCCCUGGAGCCUCAGGCAAUUAAGGAACAGACAACAGAUGAGGGUGUUGGGCCUCUUCCUGACCCUUGGUGUAAAUGGUCGGUAAGUCCAGCUGGGGUCUUUUUGUAAAGUGAGGUCUGUCUUGGAGGACAGUCAGUCACAGCAGUCAAUAGUACACACUGCUCCUGAAGAGGCCCCGGGCCAUACCAGGCCGGACACUCGGCCACUCCAGUUCCCAGGAGCCCAGCAUGUGGUUCCUGCACAUUUGCCUGCACAAAGACACCAUAUGCACAUAAAUAAGUUACAUUUUUUUUUUUUGGCUUUUUAGAUGGGGUUUUUGUUUUGGUCCCAGGUGUGGGAUGUGGGGCUGACUCAGAGGGGCCACAGCAGCAAACUAUUUGUCUCAUGUGGGCUCUGAGAGGAGCUCUUUGCCAGCUGCAAAUGGUUUAAAGCUGAGGACUCUGGAGAGAGAAUAAAUGCCAGAGCACACAGCGUGGAGCUGGGAGAAAGGAUAAGGUUGCUGCUGCUUUCCCUCUUCCACGCCUGGUUGCUGUUGUGAGACAAAAAGACGGAGAUCUCCUGAAACGAGGACUGGACUGGCUCCAAGGAACCCGACGACGACCCUGACCAGCAGGAAGCAGCUAAGAACUGUGUCCCCCUCUCCCACUAACCCUUUCUCUCUCCUACCUGGUGUUGGGGUGUUGGUAAAGGAUUGGGGUGGAGUAGGGAAAAAAAAGAUAAAAGAAAUGUAAAUAAAAGUUUUUAAAAGUA